CCUACGGGAGGCAGCAGUGGGGAAUAUUGGACAAUGGGCGCAAGCCUGAUCCAGCAAUGCCGCGUGAGUGAAGAAGGCCUUCGGGUUGUAAAGCUCUUUUGUCGGGGAAGAAACGGUGGGGGCUAAUAUCUCCUACUAAUGACGGUACCUGAAGAAUAAGCACCGGCUAACUACGUGCCAGCAGCCGCGGUAAUACGUAGGGUGCAAGCGUUAAUCGGAAUUACUGGGCGUAAAGCGUGCGCAGGCGGUUUUGUAAGUCUGUCGUGAAAGCCCCGGGCUCAACCUGGGAAUUGCGAUGGAGACUGCAAGGCUUGAAUCUGGCAGAGGGGGGUAGAAUUCCACGUGUAGCAGUGAAAUGCGUAGAGAUGUGGAGGAACACCGAUGGCGAAGGCAGCCCCCUGGGUCAAGAUUGACGCUCAUGCACGAAAGCGUGGGGAGCAAACAGGAUUAGAUACCCUGGUAGUCCACGCCCUAAACGAUGUCUACUAGUUGUCGGGUUUUAAUUAACGUUGGUAACGCAGUCUAACGCGUGAAGUAGACCGCCGUGGGGAGUACGGUCGCAAGUAUUAAAACCGUCGAAAGGUAAUUGGACGGCGUGAGACGUAGCCGACGGACGACGACGAGGGAGGAGG
rnacentral:rRNA from 1 species